rnacentral:rRNA from 1 species
AUUGAACGCUGGCGGCAUGCCUUACACAUGCAAGUCGAACGGUAACAGGUCUUCGGAUGCUGACGAGUGGCGAACGGGUGAGUAAUACAUCGGAACGUGCCUAGUAGUGGGGGAUAACUACUCGAAAGAGUGGCUAAUACCGCAUGAGAUCUACGGAUGAAAGCAGGGGAUCGCAAGACCUUGUGCUACUAGAGCGGCCGAUGGCAGAUUGGGUAGUUGGUGGGAUAAAAGCUUACCAAGCCGACGAUCUGUAGCUGGUCUGAGAGGACGAUCAGCCAGACGGGGACUGAGACACGGCCCAGACUCCUACGGGGGGCAGCAGUGGGGAAUUUUGGACAAUGGGCGAAAGCCUGAUCCAGCAAUGCCGCGUGCAGGAUGAAGGCCUUCGGGUUGUAAACUGCUUUUGUACGGAACGAAAAGCCCCGGGUUAAUACCCUGGGGUCAUGACGGUACCGUAAGAAUAAGCACCGGCUAACUACGUGCCAGCCGCCGCAGUAA